UUCCACUUCACUAUAAAAAAUUUCAAAAACAAACUUAAAAAACGGACGUCACACGGGAUGACUAUCUAAAUGCUAAAUAUCAAAAAGUUGCAUGUUAUAUCUUAGAAAAAAAUAAAAUUUAGAUACGAUUUAAAGUGAAAAUAAAGACCUUGUUUCGUUAGAUCAUUGUUUUUAGGCCAAAAACUGAAACUUAAGGGGGCGCUUGCAAUAAAAAAAUCGUCUUGCUAAUUAACGGGCACCCUAAUGUACAUGCAUGUGUGGGUAAUGCCUGUCAAGUUUAUAUGAAAAUUGAUUAUUUGAUAAAGGCACUCACACUUUGGUAAAUUUUAUGAUAAAGUCUGUGACUUCAACUUAAGUUCAGGGUAAAUACCCGUUAUUAAAUAAGUACACGUAAUCAAAUCAUAUUUAUGAGAUCUUGAAGUCUGGUUCAAUGAUUCACUACAAUAAAAAUAACAUUGUGCCGGUUUUUGACAUACUUCCUGAUAUCAAAAGGAGAAGUACUUAGUAAGAUAUGUAUCUAGGGUUCAUCAAUGUUCAUUAUUAAUUUGGAUACCCACUAAAGGACAUUAUUUUUAUUUGUUUGGCUUUUUAACAAAAUUUUUUUCAAAAAACAUUUAAUAUAUACGAGAAGUAUAUUUACUUGUAUAUAUGACAAGUAGUAAUAAAAUGUUUCUAAGUUAUACUAAAUAUUAAAAUAUAUACAUACUCUUGUGUAAGAAUAAAUAAUAUUCAAACGUAAAUAGUAGAAGCAUUAGUUGUCGGCAUACAUAACAAUAUUUAUAAGUAAAAAAAAUAACAAUACUAAUUCCAUUCUUAUUAAAUAUAAACAACUCCACAGGCGUUGAAAAUCAUCGGCAUCCAGAUAUCGAUUUGUAAUUGCCACAAUAUCUUGGGCAUUCUCGUGCUGUCGUAGUGAAACUUCUGGAGUCAAUUUUAUUGUGCAAAAAUAAAAACAUUUUUUUGCUUGUCAAUGAGUGUUUGCUCAUUCAUUAUCGUAUCAUUAUCGUCAGGUGUUUUCUUGACUUCUAUAGGUGUGACUCAUUGAGUGAAUGAAUUAUCAUGGCUUAGUUAUGCAUAUAUCGCAACGUAAAUAGAUCGUACAAUACAAAGCUUGUAGAAACAGAGCUACUUUCAGGAAAUGCGAAAAUGCAAUUCUGAUUUUUAUAUUUUUUUUACAAAACAGGGUUUUUGGCUUUAAAGUGACGCAUUUGUAUAUAGUACAUACUUGUUUCCAAAGGGAGCAUUGUUCUACAUAUUUAAAAAUGUGAAGAUGGGUUAAUUCGGCAAAAAAAUUGUACAUCCCCACGUUAUAACAGAAUAUCAUCGACCUUUUAUGGUAGACUCGUUUAUGGAUCCAGUACAAAAUUAAGCCACAUAGUAAGCAUUGGUUCGUAUAUACAUAUGUCUGUAUAUGAGUUUUUACCAUUUCACGGGUUUUGCUAUGUGUAACUCUUGGUUUUUGUACCUGAGAAUAUUUGCUGAAAAGGAUAGUACUAUAAAGUUCCAUACUAUUUGGAAUUCAGAGUAACCAUAGCAGAGACAAAGUGAUGUGGAAUGUCUCAUCAACAAAAUAAAAGAAAAAAGGCCCGUAUGUUCCUCUGCAAGAUGUGAGGUUAGACCGAUAUGGACAUUGGCAAGUUUUGAUGGAUAAACGAAUGAGGUGCGAAUUUCGGAGCUGUAAAGGUUUUACGCAAUCAAUUUCAAUGUACUUCACAUUAGUUUUAUAAUAAACAAAUCAAUUGUUCCAAAAAUUGGCACACUUCUUCAGUUUAGCUGGAUUCACUAACGAUGAUCACAUGCUGCAUUUCUGCCAAAACAAUGUUUUUGUAUCAAAUAAAUGAAUAAUUUUUA